GGACUACAGGGGUAUCUAAUCCUGUUUGCUCCCCUAGCUUUCGCGCCUCAGCGUCAGCAAUAGCCCAGAAAACCGUCUUCACCACUGGUGUUCUUCCACAUAUCUACGCAUUUCACCGCUACACGUGGAAUUCCGUUUUCCCUAACUACGCUCAAGCCGAGUAGUUUCAAAUGCAGCUCCGCGAUUGAGUCGCGGGAUUUCACAUCUGACUUGCUCGGCCGCCUACGCGCCCUUUACGCCCAGUAAUUCCGAUCAAUGCUUGCACCCUCCGUAUUACCGCGGCUGCUGGCAC
rnacentral:rRNA from 1 species